GAUGAACGCUGACAGAAUGCUUAACACAUGCAAGUCAACUUGAACUUCGGUUUGGGUGGCGGACGGGUGAGUCACGCGUAAAGAACUUGCCUCACAGCUAGGGACAACAUUUGGAAACGAAUGCUAAUACCUGAUAUUAUGAUUUUAGGGCAUCCUAGAAUUAUGAAAGCUAUAUGCGCUGUGAGAGAGCUUUGCGUCCCACUAGCUAGUUGGAGAGGUAACGGCUCACCAAGGCGAUGAUGGGUAGCCGGCCUGAGAGGGUGAACGGCCACAAGGGGACUGAGACACGGCCCUUACUCCUACGGGAGGCAGCAGUGGGGAAUAUUGGACAAUGGACCAAGAGUCUGACCCAGCAAUUCUGUGUGCACGAUGAAGUUUUUCGGAAUGUAAAGUGCUUUCAGUUGGGAAGAAAAAAAUGACGGUACCAACAGAAGAAGUGACGGCUAAAUACGUG
rnacentral:rRNA from 1 species